GUGUCAGCCGCCGCGGUAAUACGAAGGGUGCAAGCGUUACUCGGAAUUACUGGGCGUAAAGCGUGCGUAGGUGGUUCGUUAAGUCUGAUGUGAAAGCCCUGGGCUCAACCUGGGAAUGGCAUUGGAAACUGGCGACCUAGAGUGCGGUAGAGGGUAGUGGAAUUCCCGGUGUAGCAGUGAAAUGCGUAGAGAUCGGGAGGAACAUCCGUGGCGAAGGCGACUACCUGGACCAGCACUGACACUGAGGCACGAAAGCGUGGGGAGCAAACAGGAUUAGAUACCCUGGUAGUCC
rnacentral:rRNA from 1 species